GCGGCCUAUCAGCUUGUUGGUGAGGUAAUGGCUCACCAAGGCAACGACGGGUAGCCGGCCUGAGAGGGCGACCGGCCACACUGGGACUGAGACACGGCCCAGACUCCUACGGGAGGCAGCAGUGGGGAAUAUUGGGCAAUGGAGGAAACUCUGACCCAGCGACGCCGCGUGCGGGAUGAAGGCCUUCGGGUUGUAAACCGCUUUCAGUAGGGAAGAAGCGAAAGUGACGGUACCUACAAAAGAAGCACCGGCUAACUAUGUGCCAGCAGCCGCGGUAAUACAUAGGGUGCAAGCGUUGUCCGGAAUUAUUGGGCGUAAAGAGCUCGUAGGUGGUUCGUUACGUCGGAUGUGAAAAUCUGGGGCUCAACCCCAGACCUGCAUCCGAUACGGUCGAGCUAGAGUUUGGUAGGGGAGACUGGAAUUCCU
rnacentral:rRNA from 1 species